rnacentral:rRNA from 1 species
UACGGGGGGGGCAAGCGUUGUUCGGAAUUACUGGGCGUAAAGGGCUCGUAGGUGGCCCACUAAGUCAUACGUGAAAUCCCUCGGCUUAACCGGGGAACUGCGUCUGAUACUGGAUGGCUUGAGGUUGGGAGAGGGAUGCGGAAUUCCAGGUGUAGCGGUGAAAUGCGUAGAUAUCGUGAGGAAGACCAGUGGCGAAGGCGGGUCUCUGGACAGUUCCUGACGCUGAGGCGCGAAGGCCAGGGGAGCAAACGGG